rnacentral:ncRNA from 1 species
UUCUUAUCAAGAGAGGUAGAGGGACUGACCCUAUGAAACCUCGGCAACCGGCAGAUUCAUGUACGGUGCCAAUUUCAGAGGAAGGCGAAAGCUAUUCCGGAGAUGAGAA